GUGCUCACUUCAGUAGCACAUAUACUAAAAUUGGAAUAAUACAGAGAAGAUUAGCAUGACCCCAACACAAGGAUGAUAUGCAGAUUCAUGAAGCAUUCCAUAUUUUA